rnacentral:rRNA from 1 species
GACGAACGCUGGCGGCGUGCUUAACACAUGCAAGUCGAGCGGAAAGGCCACUUCGGUUGUACUCGAGCGGCGAACGGGUGAGGAACACGCGAGUAAUCUGCCCCUGGCUUUGGGAUCGCCACCGCAAACGGUGAUUAAUACCGGAUAUGACCACUUCUCGCCUGGGAUGGUGGGGGCCAGUUUUUCGGCCAGGGAUGUGCUCGUGGCCUAUCAGCUUGAUGGUGAGGUAAUGGCUCACCAUGGCGUCGACGGGUAGCCGGCCUUGAGAGGGUGAGCGGUCACACGGGGACGGAGACACGGCCCAGACUCCUACGGGAGGCAGCAGUGGGGAAUAUUGGACAAUGGGCGGAAGCCUGAUCCAGCAACGCCGCGUGAGGGAUGACGGCCUUCGGGUUGUAAACCUCUUUCAGCAGGGACGAAGCGCAAGUGACGGUACCUGCAGAAGAAGCACCGGCCAACUACGUGCCAGCCGCCGCAGUAAUAC